rnacentral:rRNA from 1 species
AGAGUUUGAUCCUGGCUCAGAUUGAACGCUGGCGGCGUGCUUAACACAUGCAAGUCGUGCGAGAAAGGGGACUUCGGUCCCUGAGUAGAGCGGCGCACGGGUGAGUAACGCGUGGAUAAUCUCCCCAGAAGUUCGGGAUAACGGCGGGAAACUGCCGCUAAUACCGGAUACGCUCCAAUUUCGGUUGGGGGAAAGGCGGCCUCUGUUUACAAGCUGUCGCUUCUGGAUGAGUCCGCGUCCCAUUAGCUUGUUGGUGGGGUAAUGGCCUACCAAGGCUACGAUGGGUAGCUGGUCUGAGAGGAUGAUCAGCCACACUGGAACUGAAACACGGUCCAGACUCCUACGGGAGGCAGCAGUGGGGAAUAUUGCGCAAUGGGGGAAACCCUGACGCAGCGACGCCGUGUGAGGGAUGAAGGCUUUCGGG